rnacentral:rRNA from 1 species
GACGAACGCUGGCGGCGUGCUUAACACAUGCAAGUCGAACGGUGACGAGGAGCUUGCUCCUUCGAUCAGUGGCGAACGGGUGAGUAACACGUGAGUAACCUGCCCCAGACUCUGGAAUAACAGUUGGAAACAGCUGCUAAUACCGGAUACGAGACGGAGAGGCAUCUCUACCGUCUGGAAAGUUUUUCGGUCUGGGAUGGACUCGCGGCCUAUCAGCUUGUUGGUGAGGUAAUGGCUCACCAAGGCGACGACGGGUAGCCGGCCUGAGAGGGCGACCGGCCACACUGGGACUGAGACACGGCCCAGACUCCUACGGGAGGCAGCAGUGGGGAAUAUUGCACAAUGGGCGAAAGCCUGAUGCAGCAACGCCGCGUGAGGGAUGACGGCCUCGGUUGUAACGUACUUCUAGUAGGAAGGAAGACGAAGUAGACGGUAACCGUACCAACGAAGAAAGACACCGGACCGUAACCUAACCGUACGUCCGACGCGACGCCGAACCGGUAACGUAACGUACGAACGUACCG